rnacentral:rRNA from 1 species
AUUGAACGCUGGCGGCAGGCUUAACACAUGCAAGUCGAGCGGUAGCACAAGAGAGCUUGCUCUCUGGGUGACGAGCGGCGGACGGGUGAGUAAUGUCUGUGAAACUGCCCGAUGGAGGGGGAUAACUACUGGAAACGGUAGCUAAUACCGCAUAACGUCGCAAGACCAGAGAGGGGGACCUUCGGGCCUCUUGCCAUCUGAUGUGCCCAGAUGGGAUUAGCUAGUAGGUGGGGUAAUGGCUCACCUAGGCGACGAUCCCUAGCUGGUCUGAGAGGAUGACCAGCCACACUGGAACUGAGACACGGUCCAGACUCCUACGGGAGGCAGCAGUGGGGAAUAUUGCACAAUGGGCGCAAGCCUGAUGCAGCCAUGCCGCGUGUGUGAAGAAGGCCUUCGGGUUGUAAAGCACUUUUAGCGGGGAGGAAGGUGGUGAACUUAAUACGUUCAUCAAUUGACGUUACUCGCAGAAGAAGCACCGGCUAACUCCGUG